AAGUACGGCAACAAAUGGACCCGCAUUGCCUCUAAGGUAAUCAUGGAUUUGCGGCCUUAUCUUUGUAUUUUUUUUUUACACAGUUCUGACAUCUAUGCAAAGUUUAUUACACAAUCUCUCAAAAUUAAAUUUAUCAGUAAUACUUAUCACAAUUAAAAAAAGCGACGUAAAUACAUGUUAUUUUCCUUUUUAUAUAUUUUCUCCCCCUUAUAAAUUUUGUUUGAUGUUCUGGUGCUUUUCUGUCUUUAAUUAUUAGCUUAAUUUAUCAAUUUAAUAUAUUGCUUCUUGUUUACUUGGAUAUUAUGCAUCUUUUAUUAAACUUUGUUCCAUCCCACAAUAAUAAUAUGAACCUUAUUUAUAUGUAUUCAGCUACCAGGAAGAACAGACAAUGAAAUUAAGAACUUCUGGAACACCAGAGUGAAAAAAUGCCAGAAACAUUAGUUACCUAUAUGGCUAUAUACCCAGAAAGUAUAGUGGAGGAUCAAUCCCCUAUUAGUGACAUUAACAAUGAUUCCCCCUGCCCUGACCCCAACAAUAAUUUCACCAUCAUCUCUGAUAACAACCAAAUUCCUCAAACUAACCUACUAUCUUCACUGCAUCAAUUCUCUUCCAUAUCACCACAUUCACCAAGUCCUACAAACCUUUCAACUCAAACUCAACCUUCAAAUCCCCUUUUAUGGCCACUUCAGCAACCACCCUUGGCACCAUACCAUUUCUCAUCACAGAACCAAACAAGUCCCACAUACCAACCAAUACAAUCCUUUCUUCAACAACCCCAGGCUUCACCGAGUCACUAUUCCUCGCUGCACCAGUCAAGACCCACAUACCAAUCAAUGCAAGGCCUUCUUCCGGGCCCUGCUGUGCCAUCUCCGAACUGGCUCUCUUCACCAGACAAAGACCACAUAUCAACAUUAGGACAACAGAGUUCAAUCUGCCAUUCAACUCAUCCUCUCACCAACUCCUCGAUUAGUGCUUCCACACGUCUCCACAGUCCCUUGAUUAUUCUAUCUUCCGGUGUUGGUCAGUUCAGGCCUUUUAGAACGUCGGGUAACAGGUUACCCCGCCCACUGUCAACCCCACUAUUGUCUUCUACAUUGGAUCAUUUUCUCUCUGCCACUCGAGAAUCACCCCAUUCUACUCUCGAGCUGAAUCUGUCAAACCAAGCGAAUUCAGUUUCUCCUCUCAAAUUGAAUUCAAUGACCCAAACAUCUACAAUACCCACAUUAACAAUAAAUUCGUCGACGGCAGGAUCUUCAAAUUCUUCUUCUCUCCAAGUGAGUCCUUUGGACGUGACUUGGCCCUCAAUUUCUCGAAGCUUAUACAACCCAGUCUCACGACGUUCAUCUUCCUCCUUGAUAUCGGAGCUCUCUUCAAUCCAAUCAUCCCCUACAGCAGCCUUAAAACACGCCUCUUAUAUGAAUAUUAGGCAGCAAACUGCAAAAAGCAUGACCUGUUUUGAGUUAUUAGAUGCUUCGUUGCAAGAAGCUCUGACAAAAGGAGUCUCUAAAAACUCAAGGAAAGAAGACUUCUUGGGCCAAAACUUAACCAGAGAAAGCUUGCUUAGUGAAUGUUUGAAAACAAAAGACUUGCUGGAUAACAUUUUGAUGAAAGAAAACUUGUCCAGUGAAAUCUCAAAGACAAGAAUUUCAUUAGAUGAAAACUCAAGAAAAGAAGGCCUAUUGACACAGAGCUUUAUGACCGCCGAUUCAUCAGGUAGUAGUCUGAAUACAGAAAAUUCAUUUCACAAUAGAAGAAGAAAAGAUUUCAUAAAAACAAGCACAGAGAGAGAAGAUUUGUUUGGCAUGGUUACAAAUAAAGGAGAAAGUUUACUGGACCAAAAGUUGAGUGCAGGUGUGUUGGAAGAAGGCACAAGGAGAGAAGGUUUUUUAAUUGAAAGCUUAAACGAAGAGGGGCACAUAUUAGGUGAUAGCUCAAGCGAAGGAUGUUUAUGGAGCGAAAUCUCAAAAAGAGAUGAGUUAACGGAUGGAAGUAUGAGCCAAGGUUUUCAUUCUCUGAUGGAAAACUCAAGGAGGGAACUUUUAUUGGCUUCAAAAGAGCAGAAGCUGAAUGAAUCUGGUCUGUUCUUGGACCAAAGAACUACUUGCGUUCUACUGGAGUCUGGUGGUCUGGGUGGUAAAUUAAGUUGUAUCAAACCCUCAGCAGGUGAGUUCUUGCAUCAUCAGAUAUCUGCUUUCAAUACUAAAUGGGAGUACACCUGAGUGAAUGAUUACCACAGACUUCAGUUAUGCAUUAUCGAGUAUUAUGCUGCUUUUGGAUUGAAGGAAUGGAAUGAAAGACAUGUAUAUAAUAUGUUGUUAAAAUAUACGCAUAUAUACAUCUUGUCUUAAGAUUAUGAUAACUAAAAUCACUGACAUACUAGCUUUCUAUUAAUUUAUUUCAGAAGAAAAACAAAGUAGAGAGGCAGAAGAAGGAGCACAUUAACAACAUGACUGAUGAAUUAUCGAGCCUGCUUGAAUUUUUCCCCACCACCGCUGAAAUCCCUGAAUGGAACCAAGAUAUAACUCCAACAGACCACCAACCACCUUCAGCUGAGUUAGUUGUCAAUAUCACUCCAACUUCUAGCUAGGGAUCAUACCUACUAGAAGAAAAGACCAUUUGUGGAGAAACUUACUGCUACGUUAGGAACAAAAUCAAAUCUUGAUUGUGAAAAUAUUUCUACUUCACUGUGCAGUUAUCUA
rnacentral:lncRNA from 1 species